rnacentral:rRNA from 1 species
GCCGGUGACAAACCGGAGGAAGGUGGGGACGACGUCAAGUCAUCAUGGCCCUUAUGUCCUGGGCUACACACGUGCUACAAUGGCCGGUACAGAGUGAAGCGAAACCGCGAGGUGAAGCAAAACGCAGAAAGCCGGUCUCAGUACGGAUUGGAGUCUGAAACUCGACUUCAUGAAGUUGGAAUCGCUAGUAAUCGCGCAUCAGCAUGGCGCGGUGAAUACGUUCCCGGGCCUU